GCGGCCGUGGUCUAGCCUGGUCUAGGACCCCAGCCUCCCGAGCUGGUGACCCGGGUUCAAAUCCCGGCGGCCGCA
rnacentral:tRNA from 2 species